rnacentral:lncRNA from 1 species
CUGUGAUGUCGGGUGACCAGGUGGGGAUCCUGCUGUGAUGUCGGGUGAUGAGGGGGGAUCCCGCUGUGACGUCAGGGAGAUGCGCUCCACCUGGAGCGGGCUUGGACGGGACUCCCUCUCUGCCCCUUGGCCACGGACCUAUUCUGUGUGUGCGUGUGUGCAGUUUUCCACCUUGAAGACCCUCCAACCUCAGAGGCCUGGGUUAUAUCUUGAGCAUCUGCACGUCUAAGGGGAUUCUUGGUUUUCUCAGCCUCCAGAAUAUACUGACUAGUCGUGGAGAUGCUGUAGGAAGAACGUGCCGGUAAGAGGCGUCGAUGGGGCAAGGACGCAGCAGGAAGCCCUUCGUCGUGG